CUGCCUUAGACAAAGGAUGCACUGGGAGCCCCACCACACCUCAAGCCAUGCUUUGAAGGAUCUGCCAAGCUCACUUUUAAUCAUGAGAAAGAAAUUACCCACAUGGAGUCAGCAGAAAAUGAGAAAGUAGAGCUCACGCUGCGAAUAAUUCCAGCAAGUGCCAAGGGGCUAGUUGAGGAAUGGCUUCAUGAGG
rfam:Equus caballus chromosome 28, whole genome shotgun sequence.